CUCUCCAAUCAAUGAAACUGAUCUCUCCGUGAAGAAGCGGGGAUUUAACUAUAAGACGAGAAGACCCCAUGGAGCUUUAAACCCGACUACACCUCCACCUCUUAUACCCACAUAAUCAACGGAAUACUGUACAUCGGUUUUGGGUUGGGGUGACCACGGAGCACAAACUAACCUCCAUGAUGAAUAAGACUAACCCUUUAUCUAAGAGACACAUCUCUAAGAAUUAGCACACUAACAUAAAAUGAUCCGAUAUUCGAUCAACGAACCAAGUUACCCUGGGGAUAACAGCGCAAUCCACUUCAAGAGCCCCUAUCCACAAGUGGGUUUACGACCUCGAUGUUGGAUCAGGGUAUCCUAGUGGUGCAGCAGCUACUAAAGGUUCGUUUGUUCAACGAUUAAAACCCU
rnacentral:rRNA from 1 species